GGUGGAGUGGCCGAGUGGCGAGGCGACGGCCUGCAGAGCCGUUUACAUGGGUUCGAAUCCUUUCUCCACCUCCA
rnacentral:tRNA from 1 species